rnacentral:rRNA from 1 species
UUCGCAAUGCCCGAAAGGGUGACGAAGCGACGCCGCGUGCGGGAAGAAGGCCUUCGGGUUGUAAACCUCUGUCGGGAGUUAAGAAAUGCAAGGGUGUUAACAGCAUCCUUGCUUGACUAAGGCUCCGGAGGAAGCCACGGCUAACUCUGUGCCAGCAGCCGCGGUAAUACAGAGGCGGCAAGCGUUGUUCGGAAUUAUCGGGCGUAAAGAGCACGUAGGCGGCUGUGUAAGUCGGUUGUGAAAGCCUUCCGCUCAACGGGAGAACGGCAUCCGAUACUGCAUGGCUAGAGUGCGGGAGGGGGGAGUGGAACUUCUGAUGGAGCGGUGAAAUGCGUAGAUAUCAGAAGGAACACCGGCGGCGGAAGCGACUCUCUGGCCCGUAACUGACGCUGAGUGUGCGAAAGCUAGGGGAGCAAACGGGAUUAGAUACCCCGGUAGUCCUAGCCGUAAACGAUGGGCACUAAGUAGAGGGGUUUU